rnacentral:lncRNA from 1 species
GUCCUCAUUUCUCCCAGCAUAUGAUGUUCUACAGUGCUUCAGCACAGUGACUCAGCUGGGGACUAGGGUAUAAAACCCAGAGCAAAGUGCUUUUGGAGUCCCUCAGCAGCAGAGUUACAUGGAGCACAUGGUGAUGAGACUCCAUCUGCCCUGGGCAGUUGUACUGAACCUUGGAGAACUAACUCACUGUAGACCCAAGGCUUCUGUGUAUACCUGCUGCCUAUGUAUGACUUCGCCUGACUUAUGAGAGUGUUCUUUCUGACCAUACCAUACCUAAGAACCUUUGCUAUGUUCCUUUUGGUAAUGUAUUUAUUUGCUUACCGCCUCCUUCACAAAAAAAGUUUCUAGGCAUCAACUAUAUGCCACACAGGUUUCAGGUACUAGCUGUUUAACGGUGAGCAAGAUGACAAUAGCCCCUGCUUUUAUGGAGAUUACGGUCAGUCAGGAAGCAAAUAAACUAAAAUGCAUAAAUGCUGUGACAGGAUAGAUAAUACAGGUGAAUACAAUAGGACAUAUCUUAACCUAGAAGGGCAAAUAAGGCAUCCUGAAAGAAGUAGCCAUUAAGUUAUGCCAGAAAGAUACCUGAGAAUUAUCUAGACUAAAAAUAGAAAUGGGAAAUAUUUCAAGAAGAGGUAUUAGCAUAUAAGUCUUGGAGGCCAAGAAGAAUUAGUUGGAUUCAAGAAAUUAAAAGAGAAAUCAUGGGAAAAACUGCCCAUUUCUGUUUUGUCCACUUUGCUUUGGGAAGUGAGAGCUAUAGUCAUUAUCACCACAUCCCCUGGCAUCCAAUUCCACAUUCUACCUCAGAAGUUAUUUGGAGGAAUCCAAGGACUUAGAUAUUUUACCAAUGUCUCUGGUGAUUUUUAUAUCGGUGGCCCAUGGGUGUUGACCUAUGAAACUGCUCUGCAGCAGAUAUUGAGAAAUAGGAGUUCAGACCAUCGAACUCCAAGUACUUCAGAUUUGGAACUCGGACUGCUUUCCUUGCUCCUCAGCCUGCAGAUGGCCUAUUGUGGGACCUUGUGAUUAUGUAGUGAGACGAGCAUGAGUGGAGCAGGAGACGGCUGUCCCCCACCCACAAGGAAUAUCAGAUGAUGGUUCAGCGAUCAUCACAUUGCCUCUCUGAAAGUGAUAAAUUGGCAGCUGGCACCAGGGAGAGGCUAUUUCCUGAUGGCCCACACCUGUUGCACUAAGAUGUUAAUCGAAUGCAGAUUCCAGGGAGAAACAACUUCCUGGGCAUGUGCGUAAGAGACAAAAUGGCAGGUAUGACCUUCUGGGGACACUCCACCAGAAAAGGGAAGAAAACCUCAGAUGGGCAUGCAUAUAACUUCCUAAACACACUGCUCACACUCUCCUCCCAAGGGUAAGGAGGGCACUGCACAUGCAGGCAGCCCAUCCUAAGGGAAGCAUCCUGGGAAAGGGGUCAGUCUAUAUGGUUCUGGGAUCAAGAUUAAACACCACAUUAGACCUUCAA